AUUGCACUUCGUGGUGAUUUGGCCGGCCGGCUUGCAGCCACGUUAAACAAGUCGCUAAAGGGCCGCGCGAAGUUCACU
rnacentral:ncRNA from 2 species